CAUCUUUCGUCGCGCGCAUAUAAUCCGAUAAAACGCUAAUCAUCCCUCACUUAUUUCGCUUUGGCAGCGGUAUUAAUUUGUACUUCAAUGGUGUUAUCGCCGAGCUGACAUGCUGGUAAUUUUGCAAUGCACAUCAUUAUCUAUUUUCCCGGCUGCUAUGGAAGAUUGGUCGUCAUUCAAGGAGGCGGUGGACAUCCCGAGGAGUCUCGUCGUCACGAGCACAACGGUCGUCCUCGGUGAUUGUGAAUUUGUGCAGGAUUCCAGGGCGAAGGCCUACAUAUAACACGCGUGUGGUGCGGCUAUUGCUCGGAGACCAACAGGAAGACACUCCGCGCACUCAUUCUUCGCGGGAGCCCCAUCCUGCAUGAGGAACUUCGUCAUCUUCGGAAUGAGCCGUUGUAGUGAAACGCUUGGAAGACUUCCUCACCGGCCCGACCACAGCUACCAUUGAAAAUGUAUGCGUUGGGUUGGGGGCACGCUGACAUCCGUGGCACGUGCCACUCUCCGCGCCACUCACGAGAUCGCCGCGCGAAACCACCCACCUCAAGGACAUAGAGAACAUGGAGCGAAUCCAGGAGUAUAGAAAGAAGGACCUUUCGACGAAGUUUUUGCGGGCGCUGCUCCCCAGUAAGGGCACA